GAUGAACGCUGGCGGCGUGCCUAAUACAUGCAAGUCGAGCGAACAGAUAAGGAGCUUGCUCCUUUGACGUUAGCGGCGGACGGGUGAGUAACACGUGGGUAACCCACCUAUAAGACUGGAAUAACUCCGGGAAACCGGGGCUAAUGCAGGAUAACAUGUUGAACCGCAUGGUUCUACAGUGAAAGGCGGCUUUGCUGUCACUUAUAGAUGGACCCGCGCCGUAUUAGCUAGUUGGUGAGGUAACGGCUCACCAAGGCAACGAUACGUAGCCGACCUGAGAGGGUGAUCGGCCACACUGGAACUGAGACACGGUCCAGACUCCUACGGGAGGCAGCAGUAGGGAAUCUUCCGCAAUGGGCGAAAGCCUGACGGAGCAACGCCGCGUGAGUGAUGAAGGUCUUCGGAUCGUAAAACUCUGUUAUUAGGGAAGAACAAAUGCGUAAGUAACUGUGCGCGUCUUGACGGUACCUAAUCAGAAAGCCACGGCUAACUACGUG
rnacentral:rRNA from 1 species